AAGAAAUGGUGGGUCAAUAUUAACUUGUUGACUCUAUCUAUCUGAACUUGUGGUAAUAUUGAAUGAUUAUUUGGGCUUAAAAAUGGUGUUCUUUGUUUCAUUGAAUAUCGGCUCAAACAACUUUAUAAACUCUUUUAUUAUUGACUGAAAUAUCAAGUAAAUUAAUCCAAUCUUUUGGGUUAAAAAAAAAAAAAAGUUUUAAA
rnacentral:misc_RNA from 1 species